rnacentral:lncRNA from 1 species
UGCUUUAUCAAAGAUCAGUUGACUGUAGGUAUUUGGGUUUAUUUCUGUGUUUUGAAAAAAUUACCAUUUUUAUCUCGCUGCUUGUUAUUGGUUUGUUCAGAGUUUCUAUUUCUUCCUGGUUUAAUCUAUGGAAUGCCCAUUUAAUGUUUAGAGUCUUCGCUAGCUAUUGGUUAACCUGUGAAACAAAUGCUCGCCUGUUGUCUGACUGGAUAGAAGAGGGGAGUCCAAAUGGGAGGAUAAUGCGGGUAAUACAGAGAAUAGAAGUGACAGUGUGUGUGUGGUUUUUUUUUUUUUGAUGGUGGUAGGAAAAGUUUCUGUCCAUCCAGAGAAUGUAUCUAUUAUUGUCAGAAGGUACUGGAUUUGUUUUACAGGGGGUCAUGUGAGUGAAGUUGAUUUGCCAGUCAGUCUUGCCCUGGCAGGUGUCUUCAGGCCUGGUGUGUGGGGAAAGGAGGUGGUUUGAUAGCUCCCUGAGGGGAAGUUUGAGUGCAAAGGGAACAUGCCUUAGUAAUAUCUUUGAGAUUGGCAGUCAUGGCAGGAGAAUGUGUAUAAGAGUUGGCAUAGGGGGCGGUAACCAGUAUGAAAAUGGUUGUGUACAUAUGAAAGUACAGAAGGUCCUGGAACUUGGGCAAGACAAUUUUAUUACUGAGGUAAAACCAUCCUCCUUCCUGAAUGGCAUCAGCCUGGAUGAGUGAGGUUUGUUCUUCCUGGGUAUAUACAGGAUGUAUGUUGGGAAAAAUGGGCAGUAAUGAUGGGGUUUUAAGGGGUGCCUGCCAGGCUGCUGAAUUUGCUAAGAAGUUUUCAUUGGUUUUGGCAUUUGUAGCCUUUUGGUGUUCCUUGCAAUAGAUAAUGGUGGCCUUUAGUGGUGGUUCAGCCACCUCCAGCAGUUUGUGUAUGAGUUUGCCAUUUCCUAUGGGGAUUCCUUUUGUAGUUAGAAAACCCCUUUUCUGCCAGAUUAAGACCUGAGAAUGUAGGAUAUGGUAUGCAUAUUUGGAAUUGGUGUAAAUUGGUUAACCCUUUCCUUUUUCCUUUUGCUAGGAUGGGCAACUAGCUCCUCUUGUUGACAGGUAGUUCUGCCUGUUGAGA